CCUCCACAGAGAGUUUCUGAAGUCUGGAAGGACCAGGUCGAGAGAAAAAGAGAAACGAUUCCCUUCUGCUGACAGGGGUGCUGUAUGAAGUGACCAAGGGGAUGUCCAUCUUUCCAAAUUCCCAUUUUAAACACCGUGUCCUUUUCUGUCCUUUGUUUUCUCUUUGUAUCUGGAAAGCAACAGAUGGAAUGGUAGGUUCUUUCAUUAUUUUCUUUCUUUCUUUUUCCUGCCUGCCUGCCUGCCUGUCCGCCCGCCCGUCCCUCCAUCUGUCUUCUCUCUGUCUCUCUCGCUUUUCACUCAGGUUAGGGAAUUUAAAAAAAAAAAAAAAGAGGACUCUGUAUUUCUGCAGGUCAGGAAGCAACAGUGAAAACUAGACAUAGAACCCAACAGGCUGGUUCCAAAUAAGGGAAAGGAGUCCAUCAAGGCUGUCUAUCGUCACCCUGCUUAUUGAACGUACACGCUGAGUACACAUCAUGAGGAGCGCUGGGCUGGAUGAAGCACAAGCUGGAAUGAAGAUGGCCGGGAGACACAUCCAUCCCCUCAGAUAUGCACACGACAGCACCCUCACGGCAGAAAUGAAGCCCAGGGUGGGUUUCCAAAGUCGUGUUCGUUUCAGGUGUUCAGUCUUUUCCCUUGGAGAGGUUCAUGCAACAUCAUACGUCUACUUUCCCGUGCUGGCAUAGUAUAUAGUAGGUGCUUGUGGAUUCUUUGGAUGUACAGUUUAUGUGUCCAUGUUCAACCAGCCCUCCUAAGUGGACCGUCCUGCCCUUCCUCCCCCCGCCCCAGCCCCCCCAUCCUCUUUUCCUCAAGAAGUCAGGCAUCCACUUCAGCCUCCUGUUCCUCAGUUCAUCCAACCCCAUGGAAGAAGUCACCCCUCCAGUUUUUCCAUCGGUUCUCUACACCUCGCCUGAUGGUGGCGGGUGACUGGAAGACUGACAGUUCUGAAGAACUUUGCAAGAGCUUUGGGUGAAGCGUGUCCAUCAGUAAAGACCAUGGAAGGUAUGCCCCACGUGGCAAACACCAUUGCUUUGAGUUGUGGUCGGUUUGCCUGGCUUCAGUGAGGGACGGAAGGGAGGCUUCCACCUUCCACAGAGAAAGCUAUCCCUAGCGUACCAAGGACGUUUGACAACCCCCCGCCACCCCAGGUUACAGGCGCGACAGGUCAGACUGUAGCAAUCAUCAUGUCCGGGUGUGUUUUAAAACAGGCAGACUCAUCUUAAAGGCACUCUGUCCUGUGAAGGUGGAGGGAGGGGAGCGAGAGGCAGAGGGACGACGACAGAGGAAGGAAGGAGAAAAAGAGGGGACAGGAACACACAGAGUGGGGCGGGGUGGGGGGGGGGGUGAGGC
rnacentral:lncRNA from 1 species